rnacentral:rRNA from 1 species
AUUCCAGCUCCAAUAGCGUAUAUUAAAGUUGUUGCAGUUAAAAAGCUCGUAGUUGGAUCUCGGGAGCGAGCGAGCGGUCGGGCGUUCAGCCGUGUACUUCUCACUCAUCCUACUGACCGGUACGUGCCCUGUGCUCUUAACCGAGUGUAGGGACCGUCUGGUGCGUUUACUUUGAAAAAAUUAGAGUGCUCAAAGCUGACGAGUCGUCUGAAUAGCCGUGCAUGGAAUAAUGGAAUGGGACCUCGGUUCUAUUUUGUUGGUUUUCGGAAGUCGAGGUAAUGAUUAAGAGGGACAGACGGGGGCAUUCGUACUGGGCCGCCAGAGGUGAAAUUCUUUAACUGGCUCAUGACGAACAACUGCGAAAGCAUUUGCCAAGAAUGUUUUCAUCA